GAGAAGAGUGACUCUGCACCACAAGGGUCUCCUGUAUGGGCUGCCAUAGUCAUCAGUGUUCUUGUUGCUGUUGUUAAAGUGUGAGUUAAAGCUUGCUUUUUGAAGAAAGGUUCACAAAGAAGAGAAAAUGGCCGCUCCAUAAAGCUCACCUCCGAACGAUCUUAAAAAGUGUGAAUUGGUCAUAUUUGAAACCUGUUUUUGUUUUUUGUCGUUGAAAAAAAAAUAGAAAAAAUACCAUUUUAAAACAGUCACAUUUCCAUCAUUUCAACUUUAAUUUGAUCAUUUACUGAUCUCAGUGUUUCCUCUCCUGCUGCAGUUUCAUGGCUCCUCCUGAAUCCUUUCCCAUUUUCAUUGUGCAGCUUUAUAAAUAAUUCACUGAAAAAAGUUUCUCUGAGGUUCAUGUUUUUCAUGAGGACAGUGAUGGUUUGUUUUGAUCAUAACAGAUUAAAAUAAUUGGAACUCCAAAAAAUUGUCCCCUUUGAAGACGUUACAGUUUAUUAUCUGGAUCAGUAAAAAGAAAAAUAACGAGACAAGCAAAUUUAAAAAUGGCCCAAAGCAAAACAUUAACUCUAAAUUCAGGAUUUAUUAAAGUUUCACGUUUCUAUUAUGUUUCAUAUUCAGUUGAAAGCUUGUCAUGCAAAUGAUGAAGAAACAUUUCAGCUCAUAUUUAACUCAGUCUAGUUAAACAUGUGCACUCAUGUUUUACUGUAAAUGAAUAUUUAGCAGAUAGAAAAAUUAUGAUUUCAUUUUUAGAAUAUUUUUACUUGCGCUUAAACUCUAAUAUAAUAUGUUGUUUUUGGUUCAGUUGAUUUUUUUUUUCAAAUUAUAUUUUUGCUGUCAACUGUUGAUGUACUUUUUUAUAUUUAUGCCAUUUAACAGAAAGCUUAAGAGUGCACAAGCCUGAAUAAAAAACUUUUGCGACUGUGUGUGUGUGUGUGUGUGUGUGUGUGUGUGUGUGUGCGCGCGCGCAUGUAUAUGCGUCACUAAAUGUUAAUAAAGUGAGAAGAUGUUUUACUGUUCUAGUCAAAUUCCAGAAUGAUUCUUAUUUUGCAGCAGCUGUGCUUUGAUAAAAGACAUUUAGCUACAGAUGGAAUGUCGGUGCAAAGCUAAAGUGUUGCUCAGGAUUAGCAGGAAGCUGUUGCACUCCAGUGUUUUUAUCCUGAGCUGGCCGAGGAGAUCGAUGGGUGUUUGUCUCUAAUGUGUCAAACUAAUAUCAAACAUGAGAUUGAAUAAAAAGUUGACUUUUUGUUCAAUCUCAGUCACUUUUGUCAUUUUUUUUAAACAUUUUGGCUGUAACUAGUUUAACAUCAGUAUGAAUGUGAGGGAGCCGUCAGUCAGGAAACAACACUGUGCUGAAGAAACAUGCAUGAAACUUUUUUUCACAUAUUUGUUUCACUGUGUGCAUUUGCUGGUUCAAAUAUGAACGACAACAAACAGGUGAUCAUCACUGAGGGAGGAUCAGUGGAUUUGUUAAAUGUCGUCACAGAGAAUGUUUGUUCACACAUGAUGGCAGAUCCAAAGAGAGGAAACAUCUUUCCGAGCUUGUCUCCACAUGUGGGGAAACUUCUCUCAUCUAGUAUGAAUCAAAAGUGCAACCAGCUGUUUUUCAGCUUGAUGAAGUUAAAUAUUGUAUUCACAGCAUCAACAUCAUGGUUCAUGUCUAACUUAUACCGCCUGGUAGUGAAGGCCAGGUGAAGCUUGUAAAAAGGGUUCAUUACUCUUUGGUGACAUCUGGUGGACAAAAAUAUGAAGAGCAGCUUGAAUCAACAAGUAAAAAUGAAGUUCUUUGUUAUGAUGGCCCACUCUAUGAGACGAGUCUGUGCGUCCGCUGUGGUGCUUUGCACAUGUGAAAAAAUAAUGUGUAUUUGCUAAAUAAACCUUCCUUGUUUAAACUUA